GGGGCGUUGGCUCAGCUGGAUAGAGUAGGAGGCUUCGAACCUCUUGGUCGGGGGUUCGAGUCCCUCACGCCCCACCA
rnacentral:tRNA from 1 species